rnacentral:rRNA from 1 species
AUUGAACGCUGGCGGCAUGCUUUACACAUGCAAGUCGAACGGCAGCACGAAAGAGCUUGCUCUUUUGGUGGCGAGUGGCGAACGGGUGAGUAAUGCAUCGGAACGUACCGAGUAAUGGGGGAUAACUAUCCGAAAGGAUAGCUAAUACCGCAUACGCUUUGAGAAGGAAAGUGGGGGCUCUUCGGACCUCACGUUAUUCGAGCGGCCGAUGUCUGAUUAGCUAGUUGGUGGGGUAAAGGCCUACCAAGGCGACGAUCAGUAGCGGGUCUGAGAGGAUGAUCCGCCACACUGGGACUGAGACACGGCCCAGACUCCUACGGGAGGCAGCAGUGGGGAAUUUUGGACAAUGGGCGCAAGCCUGAUCCAGCCAUGCCGCGUGUCUGAAGAAGGCCUUCGGGUUGUAAAGGACUUUUGUUAGGGAAGAAAAGGAUAGUGUUAAUACCAUUAUCUGCUGACGGUACCUAAAGAAUAAGCACGGCUAA